rnacentral:rRNA from 1 species
CCUACGGGCGGUAGCAGUGAGGAAUAUUGGUCAAUGGGGGAAACCCUGAUGCAGCGACGCCGCGUGAGUGAAGAAGUAAUUCGUUAUGUAAAGCUCUAUCAGCAGGGAAGAAAAUGACGGUACCUGAGUAAGAAGCCCCGGCUAACUACGUGCCAGCAGCCGCGGUAAUACGUAGGGGGCAAGCGUUAUCCGGAUUUACGGGGUGUAAAGGGAGCGUAGACGGGAGUGCAAGUCUGGAGUGAAAGGCGGGGGCGCAACCCCCGGACUGCUCUGGAAACUAGACGGCUGGAGUGCAGGAGAGGUAAGUGGAAUUCCUAGUGUAGCGGUGAAAUGCGUAGAUAUUAGGAGGAACACCAGUGGCGAAGGCGGCUUACUGGACUGUAACUGACGUUGAGGCUCGAAAGCGUGGGGAGCAAACAGGAUUAGAUACCCUAGUAGUC